GACCGGACCCUAUGCGCUGGCUUCGUGCUAACCGAGUCAGGUGGGGAACCAAGCAGCUCUAUGCAAUGAACCAGGUGCUGUAGGUAAUCUGUUCCGG
rnacentral:SRP_RNA from 2 species